rnacentral:rRNA from 1 species
GAAUUCCUGGUGUAGCGGUGGAAUGCGCAGAUAUCAGGAGGAACACCGAUGGCGAAGGCAGGUCUCUGGGCCGCAACUGACGCUGAGGAGCGAAAGCAUGGGGAGCGAACAGGAUUAGAUACCCUGGUAGUCCAUGCCGUAAACGUUGGGCACUAGGUGUGGGACUCAUUCCACGAGUUCCGUGCCGCAGCUAACGCAUUAAGUGCCCCGCCUGGGGAGUACGGCCGCAAGGCUAAAACUCAAAGGAAUUGACGGGGGCCCGCACAAGCGGCGGAGCAUGCGGAUUAAUUCGAUGCAACGCGAAGAACCUUACCAAGGCUUGACAUGCACCGGACGCUGCCAGAGAUGGUGGUUCCGCAAGGUCGGUGCACAGGUGGUGCAUGGUUGUCGUCAGCUCGUGUCGUGAGAUGUUGGGUUAAGUCCCGCAACGAGCGCAACCCUUGUCCUAUGUUGCCAGCGGGUUAUGCCGGGGACUCAUGGGAGACUGCCGGGGUCAACUCGGAGGAAGGCGGGGAUGACGUCAAAUCAUCAUGCCCCUUAUGUCUUGGGCUUCACGCAUGCUACAAUGGCCGGUACAGAGGGCUGCGAUACCGUAAGGUGGAGCGAAUCCCAAAAAGCCGGUCUCAGUUCGGAUUGGGGUCUGCAACUCGACCCCAUGAAGUCGGAGUCGCUAGUAAUCGCAGAUCAGCAACGCUGCGGUGAAUACGUUCCCGGGCCUUGUACACACCGCCCGUCAAGUCACGAAAGUUGGUAACACCCGAAGCUCA